rnacentral:rRNA from 1 species
UUAACACAUGCAAGUCGAGCGGUAACAGGGGUAGCUUGCUACCCGCUGACGAGCGGCGGACGGGUGAGUAAUGCAUAGGAAACUGCCCAGUAGUGGGGGAUAGCCCGGGGAAACCCGGAUUAAUACCGCAUACGUCCUUCGGGAGAAAGCAGGGGAUCUUCGGACCUUGCGCUAUUGGAUGUGCCUAUGUCGGAUUAGCUGGUUGGUGAGGUAAUGGCUCACCAAGGCGACGAUCCGUAGCUGGUCUGAGAGGAUGAUCAGCCACAUCGGGACUGAGACACGGCCCGAACUCCUACGGGAGGCAGCAGUGGGGAAUAUUGGACAAUGGGGGCAACCCUGAUCCAGCCAUGCCGCGUGUGUGAAGAAGGCUUUCGGGUUGUAAAGCACUUUCAGUGAGGAGGAAAAGUUAGUCCUUAAUACGGGCUAGCCUUGACGUUACUCACAGAAGAAGCACCGGCUAACUCCGUGCCAGCAGCCGCGGUAAUACGGAGGGUGCAAGCGUUAAUCGGAAUUACUGGGCGUAAAGCGCGCGUAGGUGGUUUGAUAAGCGAGAUGUGAAAGCCCCGGGCUUAACCUGGGAACGGCAUUUCGAACUGUCAGGCUAGAGUGUGGUAGAGGGUAGUGGAAUNUCCUGUGUAGCGGUGAAAUGCGUAGAUAUAGGAAGGAACACAGUGGCGAAGGCGGCUACCUGGACCACACUGACACUGAGGUGCGAAAGCGUGGGGAGCNAACAGGAAUAGAUACCCUGGUGUUCACGCCGUAACGAUGUCACCUGCCGUGGGGAUCUGAAUCUUAGUGGCCAGCUACGCACUAAU